ensembl:lncRNA
GGCGGCGCGGCCUGCCCCCGGCCGAGGGGCGGGACGAGCGCGCGGCGGGGCCGGCCCCUGGGGAAACUGAGACCCGGGGGAGGCCCCGCCUCCGCCAGGUCCCGCGGCGAGGGGCGGAGCGCGGACCCUAAAGAGGGUGGGGGCGCGGUGUCUUUAUCUACCACGUUCCCACCAUGUGCCGGGAGCCAUCUGUGUGCCCCGGACCCUCUAAAGCCGCUUCUGCUGAGCACAGAUGAGGAAACUGAGGCUCAAGGUCACCAGGCCAAUAAGAGCCGCUGGCAGGAAUCUGUCCUGGAGAAAGCCCCUCGUCACUGCUUGGGAGGGGCCCGCUGGCUGCCCCGCAGCCGGGAGAAGUGCGGGUGUGGAUGCAGGCGUUGAGCUCGGCACACCCCACUGAGAGGCACGCGGGGUCUCCUUGCCAAAAAGAGGAUAGGACCCGCUGUAAGAUGGCCCCCACCGUCCCGCCCACCCCACAGCUGCGAGGAGCCAGAUGCAAAAACUGAAGCUCAGGGAAAUGAACUGUCCCGGGUCACACAGCUUGUCUCUAGCAGAGCCGAGUUUCAAGCCCAGGUGAACCCAGAAGCCAUGUUCACCCAUCGGUACCCCAGGGGACCCUGGAUGUGGGAAGGGGCAGGCAAAGGAGCUCUGGCUUCCCACCCCUGCCUUGCCCAUGGGUUUGUGGGAGCUGCGUGCCGAACCCCGGAGGGGCAGCAAGCAGUGAGUGGGCGCUGGAGGGGCCGACUGUUGGGGGGCCCACAGGAAGGCUUGGAGAGCUGAGGGCAGACGUGCUGCCAAAGCAAACAGCCCCACAGCCCCGCAUUCCUGGGAACCGCUGCUGCACCCUGCUCUGGCCAAGGGCUCCGCCCUCCUCAGAUGCCCAGCGUCGGGAGCUGAAGGCAGGGGCAGGCUUCAUCUCCUGGGACCCACUUCCUAAGCAGGCUGCAGAGCAGGGCUCCAGUAUGGAUCAGACCACCCAGUCUCCAAUUUGGCUCUGCCAUGUCCUGCCCACGUGAGUCAGGGCAAGUCACCUCCCAGUCUGGGUCUCAUUGUCCUUAUCUCUAAAUUAAGAUGACAAUAAUACUGCAGGGGAUGGCACCCCACUCCAGUAUUCCUGCCUGGGAAAUCCCAUGGACAGAGGAGCCUAGUGUGCCACAUACAGUCCGUGGGGGUUGCAAAGAGUCAAACAUGACUGAGCGACUAAACACACACACAAUAGUGUAAGACACCCCCCUCCACUGGAUUUUGGGGAGAAAUCAAUGAUGCCCAUCCAAUGAUUACUUUAGUGUUCCCCCCUGUUAUAUAAUGUUCAGCACCUAGAACAGUGCUGGGCGCAUAGUAGGUGCAUAAUUAAACUUGUAAAUAAACUGUC